AUAAUGGGUCAGCGACUUAUAUUCUGUAGCAAGGUUAACCGAAUAGGGGAGCCGAAGGGAAACCGAGUCUUAACUGGGCGUUAAGUUGCAGGGUAUAGACCCGAAACCCGGUGAUCUAGCCAUGGGCAGGUUGAAGGUUGGGUAACACUAACUGGAGGACCGAACCGACUAAUGUUGAAAAAUUAGCGGAUGACUUGUGGCUGGGGGUGAAAGGCCAAUCAAACCGGGAGAUAGCUGGUUCUCCCCGAAAGCUAUUUAGGUAGCGCCUCGUGAAUUCAUCUCCGGGGGUAGAGCACUGUUUCGGCAAGGGGGUCAUCCCGACUUACCAACCCGAUGCAAACUGCGAAUACCGGAGAAUGUUAUCACGGGAGACACACGGCGGGUGCUAACGUCCGUCGUGAAGAGGGAAACAACCCAGACCGCCAGCUAAGGUCCCAAAGUCAUGGUUAAGUGGGAAACGAUGUGGGAAGGCCCAGACAGCCAGGAUGUUGGCUUAGAAGCAGCCAUCAUUUAAAGAAAGCGUAAUAGCUCACUGGUCGAGUCGGCCUGCGCGGAAGAUGUAACGGGGCUAAACCAUGCACCGAAGCUGCGGCAGCGACGCUGAUGCGUUGUUGGGUAGGGGAGCGUUCUGUAAGCCUGCGAAGGUGUGCUGUGAGGCAUGCUGGAGGUAUCAGAAGUGCGAAUGCUGACAUAAGUAACGAUAAAGCGGGUGAAAAGCCCGCUCGCCGGAAGACCAAGGGUUCCUGUCCAACGUUAAUCGGGGCAGGGUGAGUCGACCCCUAAGGCGAGGCCGAAAGGCGUAGUCGAUGGGAAACAGGUUAAUAUUCCUGUACUUGGUGUUACUGCGAAGGGGGGACGGAGAAGGCUAUGUUG
rnacentral:rRNA from 1 species